rnacentral:rRNA from 1 species
UACGGGGGGGGCAAGCGUUGUUCGGAAUUACUGGGCGUAAAGGGCUCGUAGGCGGCCAACUAAGUCAGACGUGAAAUCCCUCGGCUUAACCGGGGAACUGCGUCUGAUACUGGAUGGCUUGAAUCCGGGAGAGGGAUGCGGAAUUCCAGGUGUAGCGGUGAAAUGCGUAGAUAUCUGGAGGAACACCGGUGGCGAAGGCGGCAUCCUGGACCGGCAUUGACGCUGAGGAGCGAAAGCUAGGGUAGCAAACGGG